ensembl:lncRNA
CACUGUGGCUCCAAAUGGGAUUCCUGCAGGCAGGGGAAGGAGGGGCUUUGUGAGGCAGCUGCAGUGCUCCUUGCCAGGAGAGCUGCCAGGCCAGGCCAGCAGAGCAGUGGAGGUACCAGGACACCCCUGGGUGCAGGAGAAGGCAGAAGAUUUCCCCAAAAACCCCAGGGUGGUGAUUUGUUUGUGCCUCCUGUCUCAUUGGACAGCUUGGGCGAUGCUUCUCCCCUCACUAUUAAGUACAGCAAAAGAGAAGGACUAAGUCACUUGAAUCCUUUUCAUUCUAAAAUCUUCCUGAAGAGAUACAAUUGUACCCUUAAACUCAGCUUUUUUUUUUUUUUUUUUUUUCUUCUUAUCCUGCAUUUCACUCCAGAGGAAACCCUCUACAGUUACCCCUGACAAAAUAUUUACUGUGCUUGUAACCUGCCCCUCCAAUGCUGGAGGAAUAAACUCUCCAGGGACACCCACCAAGUCCCUUCUCCCCCAUCAAUUUCUCCACACAUUUUGCAGCCUGUUCUGCAAAGCUUUUGCCACUUUGCUCUCCCCAUCCCCCACGGUUUUAUCCCAGCUCAGCUCCCUCUGUGGCUCUUUUUGGGUGGAAUUUGCUCAUAUUUGUGCAGGAGGAGGCUGCAGAGCCCCCAGCCCUCACCUGAGCAGGGUCACAGUGAGGUUGAUGAUGGCAGAACUUCACCCUGAGGCCACCAGGCUCAGCCACCCCCAGGGAACUCUCCUUAACUCAGCUUUUAGCAGACAGGAGGGCAACCACAAAAGCUGUGCCAUGAGCCCUUUCCUCUCCAGCCCCUCCAAGCAUCCCUGUUCCUUAUUCCAGCUCUUUGCCACCUGCUGCAGCCUCCUCUGAGCACACACAUCAGAAUUCUCCGUGCUUGCAACUAAAACAGGCACAAAAUCCUCAGGCUCUGGCCAACUUCUCCCCCCUGGUGCAGGAAAGGUGAGAGCACGGUGACAAUCCAGCCCUACCUGCCAGGGAAGCUGAGCUGGUGGGAGGAGAGCUCUGAAGGGAUGGAGAAGGUGGGAAAUGCCUCUCAAUGUGAGCUGGAGUGGGAGUUACAAUCGACAGGUCCUGGUGGGAUGGAAAUCCAGGGGAAGGAGCCUCCCAGCAGAGCAUGGGGCUGCUGGCACCUCCCUGGCACUGCUGUCCCUGGCCUUCUUUGCCAGGAUUUGGGCAGGGAAAGAAAGGCACCAAAGGGCUUCAAAGUUUGCUGUGUUAGGGAUGGGUUUGCUUUUUCUGGCUGGUGUUUCACCCUGUUCCAGUUCCCUCCUCUGCUCUUUGCUGGUUUUACCACGCUGUCCCCUCAGCAUCCCACCCCCAGAGCUCCCCUGAGUCCCUCAGCUCUUCCCCCUCCCUCUGUCCCUCCUUUCCCCCAGACAGGUCCUGCUGCAAUGAGAUCUCAUCUCUGGGCUCUGCUGGAAGGGGGCAGGGAGGUCUGACCCCCACAUUUCUCCAUGUAGGCUAAAGAGAGCAGAUCCUGCCUUUUCUAGAGAAUGGAAUCUGCAUUUCUGCCCAUUCCGAGCCCAGGGAGAGGCUGCAGAAAGGCACCGCUGGGCUGGCCCCACCCUUGCCCUGUCGCUUUGUGACUCGUCACAGAACAACAGCCAGGGUUGCCCUUUAAAUGAAAUUAUUCAGAUUUAAGCUCGUUUCCCUUUCAGUAUCCAGCCUUUAAUUUUGGCAAAAACCAGUUAGGUUUAGGUUUGGACUGGGCACAAAUCCAGGGGGGUGUGGGGGGCAGAGCAGCCUUUUCAAAGUGGGAAUGUUUGUAAAGCAUUUACACCAGUAGGUAGCAAAACCCCAACCUGUAAAUACACAUCCAGGAUAAGAAACAUCAAAAAGGGAACGUGUGCAGGAUUCACCAAGGCAGCCCUGAUACCACCUGGGAGCCCUUAGGAGGUGCCAGGACUUGAUCCUUGGCAUGGAAGUGCAAGGUCCAUCCCCCCCCGGGAGAGCCACAGCUCACACACAGCAUGAACACAGCAGGAAUUGCAGCUGGGUGCUUCUCUUGGCUGACAAAUGUUUCUUUUUCUGCAGGAUGGUAUGGUAUAUCUUAUAUACUUUCUUUGUAUUUCUUGGCAUGAGAAAAAAAA